rnacentral:rRNA from 1 species
UACGGAGGGUGCAAGCGUUGCUCGGAAUUAUUGGGCGUAAAGGGUAGGUAGGUGGUCUCAUUUGUCUGGGGUGAAAGCCUUGAGCUUAACUCAAGAAGUGCCUCAGAAACGGUGAGACUCGAGUCCUGGAGAGGGUCGUGGAAUUCCCGGUGUAGCGGUGAAAUGCGUAGAGAUCGGGAGGAACACCAGAGGCGAAGGCGGCGACCUGGACAGGUACUGACACUCAACUACGAAAGCGUGGGGAGCAAACAGG